CGCGUAGGCGGGUGCUCAAGUCCGGGGUGAAAUCCUCCAGCUCAACUGGAGAACUGCCUCGGAUACUGGGUGUCUCGAGGGUGGUAGGGGUAUGCGGAACUAUCGGUGGAGCGGUGAAAUGCGUUGAUAUCGAUAGGAACUCCGGUGGCGAAGGCGGCAUACUGGACCACCUCUGACGCUGAGGCGCGAAAGCCAGGGGGAGCAAACGG
rnacentral:rRNA from 1 species